rnacentral:rRNA from 1 species
UACACUCCUGCGGGAGGCAGCAGUGGGGAAUAUUGCACAAUGGGCGCAAGCCUGAUGCAGCCAUGCCGCGUGUAUGAAGAAGGCCUUCGGGUUGUAAAGUACUUUCAGCGGGGAGGAAGGCGAUAAGGUUAAUAACCUUGUUGAUUGACGUUACCCGCAGAAGAAGCACCGGCUAACUCCGUGCCAGCAGCCGCGGUAAUACGGAGGGUGCAAGCGUUAAUCGGAAUUACUGGGCGUAAAGCGCACGCAGGCGGUCUGUCAAGUCGGAUGUGAAAUCCCCGGGCUCAACCUGGGAACUGCAUUCGAAACUGGCAGGCUAGAGUCUUGUAGAGGGGGGUAGAAUUCCAGGUGUAGCGGUGAAAUGCGUAGAGAUCUGGAGGAAUACCGGUGGCGAAGGCGGCCCCCUGGACAAAGACUGACGCUCAGGUGCGAAAGCGUGGGGAGCAAACAGGAUUAGAAACCCGAGUAGUCCCAUG